ACGAGGAAGACGAUGAACAGUAGAUUUUGAGGGUAUAAUAGGAAAACGCAAUUAUCAGCGAGGGCAAUAUUGGAAGAAAAAAGAUUCAUUAAUCCCCUCUUCAGCAUCCCGAAAAUGCUGAAAGCCCAAAGCAGGUGGGGACCUGCUUUGGGCUUUCAGCAUUCUACUAGCAUUCCAAAUGCUAGCAUUCCCCCAAGUAUGGCUCCAAAUGCUGAACCAAACAGUUGAAAUUUUCCCCAAGGGGCUUUCGGGGCUGAAAGCCCCUUGGGAAUGCUGAACCAAACAGCCCCA
rnacentral:lncRNA from 1 species